CUCUUUCCUUUUAACUUUUAUCUCAUCCUCUUCCGCCACCCCCUCCCCUCCUCUUCUCUCUCUCUCUCUCUCUCUCUCUCUCUCUCUUUCUCUCUCUCUCUCUCGAUUAACGCCACUCUUUCUCAGAGACGCGCAUAAAACAAUCUCUCUAUAGAACACUGCUCUUCGUUUCUUGACGGUGCGAGAAGAUGGUCAAGGUAGAGUGGGUGAGGACGGCGAUGACUGAUGAUACCUUGGUGGCCGAGCUCCUGGUGCGUCUCAAGCAGUCUCAAGCUGCGUCUUCUUCUCACAAAUCUUGGCCUAGAGCCGUCAUACCGCUCAGAUGGGGGCUGAGGCAACCACGUUCGAGGCCGGCUGCUUUCAGAUGUGACGUCGUUCCGCGGAGGAAAGAAGCUGAUUCGAGAUGUAGCCCCACCACGCCUCUCUCCUGGAGCGGCGGCGGCGGCUCCCCUUCCGCCACCGCAACUGCCGACGGCUUCGAGGAAUCUAACGUCCACGCCAGCUUUUAUUUUGCCGCCUUCAGAUCCAAGGGUACUGCUGCAAAUGAAUCCACCGCUACCAAGAGGUCAAGAAGAAAAAAGACAUUUGCUGAACUUAAAGAUGAGGAGAAUUCCCUAUUGAAGGAAAGGAUAUAUUUGAAAAAGGAGUUGGCAACAUUACGAGCAACUUUCAAGGAACAGAAAGCUAGAAACGAGAGCUUUAAGAGAAUGAAGCUUGACUUGAUUUUGCAUUCUGCAAAGAACCCGAAUGCAACUGUUGACGGACAGGAGAACGCAGUUCUCAGAGAACCCAUUCAGGCCUCUACUUCUUACCAUACUUUUCCAAGAUUACGAGAAGAUUCCCCAAAUGAUGAUACCAUGCAAUCAGAACCUUGCACCACCGACAAGGCCACUGCCUCUGUAAGGGACAGCAGCUGCUUUCUGCCCGAUCUAAAUAUGAUGCCAUCUGAGGAGGAUUCUAGUUCUUAGAUAUAGGAUGAGCUGAGGACUACAUGUUGACGGUUUUUCUUCUCCUUCCCAAGGGAUCUGGUUUGAUAAGACUAUUAGACGGUCUCUAUUCUUACUGAAAACAUGAUCUUCUGGUACAUGGCGCAUGGCCAACUAAGGAGAACUUCGUGGAACUGUGUAAAAACUUGGACGAAGUUUGCACUGGGUACGCUGCGUAGCUAGUCCAAGCCGUUGGGCUCCCGGUAUUCUCAAUUGCAGCCAGGUUAUUUCCCUCAAAAGCUAAUUGGGGGUUAAAUCAUCGUUACUUGUCGUUUCAGAAUUAUGUCAUUCUUUGUAGGCAACACGCUGUUGGACUUUCAUGUUGAAGCAAACAUCGGGCUGUCACUGUCGAUCGGUAUUCGGAGAAGCAUUAGCUUUGACGAGUGAGUGAUUGAAUAGCUGAAUUUACAUCUCGGUGAAUUUUGGACAUUGAAAAGGGGGUGCGACUUUGUCAACCGACUCAACCCGAUAGAUAUUGUUAAGAAUUUAGACUUUAUUUUUGUAUAUGCUCCGGGCUGUAGUUCAGUUUUUUCACCAUCUCAUAUUCGGAAUGAUUCAACAAAAGCGGAAAAUGCUAAUGAUUGACUGGAGAAAUGGUUUUUGAGUUUGUUUGAA